CACGGGGGGAGCAAGCGUUGUUCGGAAUCACUGGGCGUAAAGGGCGUGUAGGCGGUUCGGUAAGUGGAAUGUGAAAUGCUCCGGCUCACCCGGAGUACUGCAUCCCAAACUGCCGAGCUUGAGUAUGGGAGAGGAUGAGGGAAUUCCUGGUGUAGCGGUGAAAUGCGUAGAUAUCGUAAGGAAGACCAGUGGCGAAGGCGGGUCUCUGGACAGUUCCUGACGCUGAGGCACGAAGGCCAGGGGAGCAAACGGG
rnacentral:rRNA from 1 species